UGUUCUCAGGGGCUCUUGCAGUGGAGGUCCGAGCCCGAGAUGAAGACCUCCUGGAGAUGGUUUCUGUCCUCCAUGAUCAUGACACUGUGCUGCGCUGCAUAGCUGAGAGAGCCUUCCUCAGACGCCUGGAGGGGGGUUGCAGUGUUCCAGUAGCUGUACACACUGAGUUGAAGGACUCCCAGCUCUACCUGACGGGGCCGUG